CAAGUACUCCCUCCGUCUGGAAUUACUUGUCAUCAAAAUGGAUGUGUCUAGAACUAAAAUACAUCUAGAUACAUCCAUUUCAAUGACAAGUAUUUUUGGAUGGAGGGAGUACAAG
rnacentral:pre_miRNA from 1 species